AAUAAGCAGGAUGUGACCUACAGCUCUGUAAACACUGCUUCCAACAACAAAACUGUGAGUAAAUUCUGUUAAAUGGAGUCUGUUCCAGUUCAGUCCAAGCUACAGAUCUAUGUGUAUAAACUGAUAAUAAACACUUUACUCACUAAUCUGCCAGGGACUUUAUUCAUAUCCUGUUCUAGGUUUCUCCAAAUGAUGUCACUAAUGAGACCCUCUACAGCUAUGAGGUUUACCAGUAAGAGAGGAUGACUUACUGUCCACUGGCUGUGGGGCCUCAGGGAUCUCUACUGGGUCAUGUGUCCAUCCUCAACAUCCUUACAGAUAAAUUCCCAGUCAGGACAAGGACAACAUGCCCCACACUCACUCCACAGACUUACUGUACAUCACAGUCACAUGACCCUCAGUCAUUCAGAAAAA